ensembl:lncRNA
CCGGAGGAAGCCUGUCGAGAAGGCAGUUCUUUAUUUAUAGAAGGGUGAGGGAUGUCUCCCAAAAAUCUAAGAGGAGCGGAGACAGAGUGGAGCCCUGCUGCGUGGGGAAAGAAUCCGUUUCCUAUCCAGAUAGAAGAAACGCAUCACAGCGAGGAGCAGCCUGGUGGGAGGGAGUGAACCCGUGAGCCCCGUUCUCUUCAGGAGUGCCAGGAUGUGCCAAAGCAGAUGGCCUCAGUCAGUUCCUCCUGGCCUUCGUUUGACUGGUCUCAGAAGUGACUUUCUGUUCCUGCUUCAAUAUUCUUUCUUUUUAAUAUACACCACCGGAACAGAGCACAGUGUUCUUGACAGUAUCAUGCCAGACACAAGGACAGUGGUAUUAAUCCAUUCUAAACUAUGUUAGGAAUAUUGCUCCCAAGACCUCUUAUGGCCUUGUUUUCCAUGUCAUGUUGGCAGCUCUUCUGGGGUCAGCUACUGUGUGCAGUGAGACUUCCCUCUCUCACUUCUCUCCCAAACUUCAAAGAGGUUGGUCAGGGUCUACCUUUCUUUGCUGUCCCUUCUGUAUAAAAUGUAGGGACUGCAGACAAAACUAGCUGGUGAUAAAUUCAAAACAACGAAGAGAGGUAAUUAGUGUCAUGUCAGAGAAAUACAGAAUGGCUCGAGUUGGAAGGGACCUUAAAGAUUACCAGGCUCCAACCCCACUGCUGUAGGUUUAUUGCCUCCAAUUAGAUCAGGCUGCCCAGGGCCUCAUUCAGCCUGACCUUGAAUAUCUCCAGGGAUGGGGCAUCUACAACUUCUCUGGGCAGUCUGUUCCAGGGCCUCACCACUCUGAGUAAAUAAUUUCCUCCUCAUGUUUUACCUAAAUCUCCCCUCUCUUAGUUUAAAACCAUCCCACCUUGUCCUAUUCCUACAUCCCCUGACAAAGAAUCAGUCAUCAGCCUCCUAGAGCCAUAUUGAGGAACUAUAAUCUUGUGGAGAUGAACAACAUCAUCCAUACUUUGCAUUUGAAAUGUUAGAAUUUGAGCUCACACGUCCUCAGUGAUGGCAGAGCAACACUUACAGUGAUCAGUACAAACAGGGAAAAGUCCAGCGAUGUAAGAGGUACAGAAGCAUUUGUCAGAUUAGGUUUGAGAGCAAGUCCUUGUGUUGAGCCUUCAGCUCAAACCAUAAAGGCUUUGAAAGUGUAUUUGGUAGAGCAGAAUGAAUUCAGUAUAUCCCGCUGCUUUUAAGAAAUAUUUGUUCAAGAAAUAGUAAUCUCUGCAUACUGUGAGAAAUUAGGGCCCAAUGGAUUCCAUACAGUAUAAACCAGAAGCACCAACCUCACCUUCAACCUGACCCUGC